UAAUAAGUGUUUUAUGGCACUUUUAAAUCCAUAUCCACCUUGUGUGCAAUGUCAGUCGAUCUUCUUUCAUGGAGAUCGACCAAACAUCAACCUUUAUCUUUUAACUCUUUGUCUGAAAAAUAUUAUGAAUAAACAAUUCAAAAUA
rnacentral:misc_RNA from 1 species